AGAUUUAUUGCUGAAAGAUGGUCUCGCGUCUGAUUAGCUNGUUGGUGAGGUAACGGCUCACCAAGGCGGCGAUCAGUAGCCGGUCUGAGAGGAUGAACGGCCACAUUGGGACUGAGAUACGGCCCAGACUCCUACGGGAGGCAGCAGUGGGGNAUAUUGGGCAAUGGGGGNNACCCUGACCCAGCAANGCNGCGUGAAGGAAGAAGGCUUUCGGGUUGUAAACUUCUUUUAGCAGGGNCGAAGAACGUGACGGUACCUGCAGAAAAAG
rnacentral:rRNA from 1 species